rnacentral:lncRNA from 1 species
UGAAAUCUUUGGGUGGAAGGAGUGAUGCAAUGAGGAAGUUCUGCUGUCUGCUCCCACAUCUGAACAUGGAAAAUAACACCUUUUUUGGGGGGAAGGGAAGGAUCUUUCUGGCAAGGAUUGCGCUCUCCUGGGUUUCAAGGCUGCGAGAAUUACAAUUCAUUCAGAGUUCAAGCCUUUGUUUAAGACAAUGUCCUCGGGGUUAUGAGGUGAAGGACUUUGCAGAAGCUCUUAUUGAUACCUGGGACAAACAGCCUCUACCAGCUCUGAUGAAGGAGAUGAGAUAA